rnacentral:rRNA from 1 species
ACGAAGGGGGCUAGCGUUGCUCGGAAUCACUGGGCGUAAAGCGCACGUAGGCGGAUUCUUAAGUCAGAGGUGAAAGCCUGGAGCUCAACUCCAGAACUGCCUUUGAUACUGGGAGUCUCGAGUUCGGGAGAGGUGAGUGGAACUGCGAGUGUAGAGGUGAAAAUCGUAGAUAUUCGCAAGAGCACCUGUGGCGAAGGCGGCUCACUGGCCUGCUUCUGACGCUGAGGUGCGUAAGCGUGUGGAGCAAACAG